UACGUAGGGCGCAAGCGUUAUCCGGAAUUAUUGGGCGUAAAGAGCUCGUAGGCGGUUUGUCGCGUCUGCCGUGAAAGUCCGGGGCUCAACUCCGGAUCUGCGGUGGGUACGGGCAGACUAGAGUGAUGUAGGGGAGACUGGAAUUCCUGGUGUAGCGGUGAAAUGCGCAGAUAUCAGGAGGAACACCGAUGGCGAAGGCAGGUCUCUGGGCAUUAACUGACGCUGAGGAGCGAAAGCCUGGGGAGCGAACAGG
rnacentral:rRNA from 1 species